AUUUUAUCAAAAAUUUUUGACAAUUACUUGGGGAUAAUAUAUAGUUGUAAACACAAUGCAAAGUAAAGAAAUAUGGAGGAAAUAAAGUAAUUGGGUGACAAAUUUUAUAUUUAAAACAAAUUGUAAUUUAAGUAGCAUAAAGUGGGAAUGCGAACAUAUUAGAGGCAGCUGCCAAGGCAGCAGGAUUGGGAACUGACUGAGUCAGGAACACAGGAGUGAGUGGGCGGGACUGAGUGAGUCAGGAAGGCGGGACUGAGUGCCUGGGACAGGUGGUGCUGCUGGUAGGAUGUGCUUGACCCCUCAAACCAUCUGCAGGCCGCAGGGAAUGGAAUAAAGUCUGUCAGGAAGAGAUUCCCACUUGCGUCUCCCACUUGCGUCAGAGAUCAGAAGAGACUCCCAAAGGCUAACAAGAAUAAGGAUCACACAGCCAGACCAGUCAUUCUGAGCCCACCUGAUAAAGACCAACAUUUCAGCUCUGCUAUGCACUACCUGUGUCUCUCUUGGUAAGUAACAUAAUUUCUCAAGGGUUCAGUUGCAUGAGCUAUAAAAUGGAAUAAUAUGAAACU
rnacentral:lncRNA from 13 species